GCCUUCGUGGUGUAGUGGUUAGCACGCUCGACACGUAACUCAGAGGUCGGUGUUUCGAUUCCCAGCGAAGGCG
rnacentral:tRNA from 1 species